UCGAUUCAACCUUCCCCAAUCAGCCAAUCUUGCAUAUUCAUUUUUUCUGUUAAAAUUGGAGAAUUUGACUUAUGAGAUUAUUUAUGCUCUAUUAUGUAGACUAAAUCUUCCUCCAUUACCUCCACGUGGUGCAGGUGGUAUGUUGCAUGCAUCCGGUUACCAUUUUUCACUAAUUAAUUUUAUUUUGCAUAUUACUGGCCUAAUUCCUUUCAAAUGUCUAACACUCCAGCUCAAUUGUGUACACCCAGGUUCACUUCUUACAGUUGAUGAAAAUAAGAUAGAUUGAUAGGUCGGAAUGACUGGGCACUUGUUAGGUAUUUCUUUAUAAUUUUUCAAGUUUUUAUUUAGUUUGUGGUACAACUAGACUCGGAAUUGGAGAUAUAAUCUAAAAGCGCUUAGAUGAUUUUCUGCUAAAUAUCCUUAGUUAGGUGAUUUUCUGCUAAAUAUCCUUAGUUUGUUUAUAAAAUGUGAUAAUUAAUUGGUUAGUAUACAGGACUGACUAUAUAUGCAAGAUCAAAAGUUACACUAUCAAGAUUUUCAGGUUGCUCUCACAAGCUGCAGAUUGUAGGAUAUAUUGUGUUCCAUUAUCUUUGCACUGAACUAAUCAUUAAAUUUGUUGCUUAUUUAUAUGAUUUCCAAUUCCUUCAAAGUUAGAUAAAAAGAUUUUCUCCAUACCGCCUGCUAAUUACCAUGUUUGAGAAAAGAUAUUGCAGCCUUUCCUUUCAAUGUAGCAUUUAUUUGAGGGGGGAUGUCAUAUAUGGUCAUUGGAGGAGUAGCCUUGGGGUGUACUGAGUAUCAAACAAGAUCACAUAAUGUAGUGGGUAUCAUUGAAAACAGAUUUGUUUGAACAAUAGAGUCUCACUGUCACAUAAAGGGACAUCUUUGAGGUGCCUCUCAGGAGAAGGUUCCCUCAAAUUUGGUCAUCCUUCUUUCAAAUUAUAUGGUAAAUAUGAUUACAACUAUUCUACUAUAUAUCAAGUGCCAUAUGGAGAUUGAUGAACUCUGCUUAUAUAAACAAUGAAACAGCAUGUUUGGUGAGGUGUUAUAUUAAGUUUGAUAUUGUUUCAAAUUUCUUUUGUACUAACUCAAAGAAUAAUUUUAUUCAUACUAGUAGCUGUGUUUGAUUGUGCCGGUGGCUUUCCCUUUGGACACUGCUGGCAAUUAUCCAAGGAUAAAAAAAGGGCGUACCCAGUGCCGUAGGCUUCCCGCACAGUGCGGGGUCUGGGGAAGGGUUGUCUUUAAGCCCCAAGCCUUACCCACACAAAUGUGCAGAGGCUGAGGCUCGAACCCGGGACCUUCCGGUUACAGACGGCAUUGUCAGCAUCAUAGUAACAUGCAUUUAAUUCUACAAAGUGCAUAUCAAUUACCCUACUAUACAAGAGGAGCCAUUAGUGAGGCCCAUGACCUGCUACAGAACCAUUGGUGAUGCCCAUGCCAAAGGAGUACCAAUUGCUUGGCUUUUGAUUUGUGUUGAAAUGAUCAAUGGUUGAAUCACGAAGCAUUGGAUGUUGAGAAUACUAUAUAUGUCGUCGUGACAUAGAUUUCUAGUGAUGAUUAAUUACUUGUGUCACAUUUGCUCUUUAGAAUCAUAUGGUUGUGUACAUAAUGUCAAUUAUUAAAUAUCAUGGUCAAGUUCUAUGUUUCCUUCC